AGGACGAACGCUGGCGGCGUGCUUAACGCAUGCAAGUCGAGCGGAAAGGCCCUUCGGGGUACUCGAGCGGCGAACGGGUGAGUAACACGUGAGCAACCUGCCCUUAGCUCCGGGAUAGCUCCGGGAAACCGGAAUUAAUACCGGAUAUGACCUAGGCCGACAUCGGCCGUGGUGGAAAGUUUUUCGGCUAGGGAUGGACUCGCGGCCUAUCAGCUAGUUGGUGGGGUAAUGGCCUACCAAGGCGACGACGGGUAG
rnacentral:rRNA from 1 species